UACGUAGGGGGCAAGCGUUGUCCGGAUUUAUUGGGCGUAAAGAGCGUGUAGGCGGCCAGACAGGUCCGUUGUGAAAACUCGAGGCUCAACCUCGAGACGUCGGUGAAACCAUCUGUGCUAGAGUCCGGAAGAGGAGAUGUGGAAUUCCCGGUGGUCAGCGGUGAAAUGCGCAGAUAUCGGGAAGAACACCCGUGGCGAAGGCGGCACUCUGGGACGGUACUGACGCUGAGACGCGAAAGCGUGGGGAGCGAACAGG
rnacentral:rRNA from 1 species